rnacentral:rRNA from 1 species
GAUGAACGCUGGCGGCGUGCCUAAUACAUGCAAGUCGAGCGAACGGACGAGAAGCUUGCUUCUCUGAUGUUAGCGGCGGACGGGUGAGUAACACGUGGAUAACCUACCUAUAAGACUGGGAUAACUUCGGGAAACCGUAUCUAAUACCGGAUAAUAUUUUGAACCGCAUGGUUCAACAGUGAAAGACGGUCUUGCUGUCACUUACAGAUGGAUCCGCGCUGCAUUAGUUAGUUGGUAAGGUAACGGCUUACCAAGGCAACGAUGCAUAGCCGACCUGAGAGGGUGAUCGGCCACACUGGAACUGAGACACGGUCCAGACUCCUACGGGAGGCAGCAGUAGGGAAUCUUCCGCAAUGGGCGAAAGCCUGACGGAGCAACGCCGCGUGAGUGAUGAAGGUCUUCGGAUCGUAAAACCCUGUUAUUAGGAAAGAACAAAUGUGUAAGUAACUGUGCACAUCUUGACGGUACCUAAUCAGAAAGCCACGGCUAACUACGUG